AUAACCAUAUGCGCAAAAACAGUUGCAGUAAGUUAUAGUUUCUGAAUUAAAUGGCAGACUGAUUAAACUUAAAUUCUAGAUUUUAUUCAAGCAAAUCAUGGAAACCAGUCGAUAUACGAUUUUUUUGUUGCUAUCAUUCGUCACCGUCGGGAACAUGCAAUCAUUCACGAGCUUUUUCAAUCCGUGGACUACAGAUGUUGAUUCUCUCGCCAAUAUAAAGAUCAAAUCUGCUGACUGCGUGGAUUGCCCUCAUGUCUACCUACCAGUGUGUGGAACCAACAAUAAGACAUUCACCAACGAAUGUUUCAUCACCUGCCUGAAUUUUAGAAAUAAAGCCAAAAAUGUUUCUGUGGCGGUUAAGAAAUACAGGAUGGGGCCUUGCGAAGUGUUUGAGGGCACCAAUGCGUUUUAAUUGUGUUUUGUUUCUGAAGAAAUAAAUAUGGGGAUAAAAGUGG